rnacentral:rRNA from 1 species
AUUGAACGCUGGCGGAAUGCUUUACACAUGCAAGUCGAACGGCAGCACGGGUGCUUGCACCUGGUGGCGAGUGGCGAACGGGUGAGUAACAUAUCGGAACGUAUCCAAUAAUGGGGGAUAACUAAUCGAAAGGUUGGCUAAUACCGCAUACGCCCUACGGGGGAAAGCUUGGGACCUUCGGGCCUGGCGUUAAUGGAGCGGCCGAUAUUUGAUUAGCUAGUUGGUGGGGUAAUGGCCUACCAAGGCGACGAUCAGUAGCUGGUCUGAGAGGGCGACAGGCCCACCUGGAACUGAGACACGGUCCAGACUCCUACGGGAGGCAGCAGUGGGGAAUUUUGGACAAUGGGCGCAAGCCUGAUCCAGCCAUUCCGCGUGAGUGAAGAAGGCCUUCGGGUUGUAAAGCUCUUUCGCAAGGGAAGAAAACUUAUCCUCUAACAUAGGAUGAGGUUGACGGUACCUUGAUAAGAAGCACCGGCUAACUACGUGCCAGCAGCCGCCGUAACAC